rnacentral:rRNA from 1 species
UACGUAGGGUGCGAGCGUUAAUCGGAAUUACUGGGCGUAAAGCGUGCGCAGGCGGUUCGUUGUGUCGGUGGUGAAAUCCCCGGGCUUAACCUGGGAAUGGCCAUGGAAACUGGCGAACUGGAGUGUGGCAGAGGGGGGUGGAAUUCCGCGUGUAGCAGUGAAAUGCGUAGAGAUGCGGAGGAACACCGAUGGCGAAGGCAGCCCCCCUGGGCUAGCACUGACGCUCAGGCACGAAAGCGUGGGGGGAGCAAACAGG